rnacentral:lncRNA from 1 species
UUCUUGAUUCCCCAUUUGUAACACAUGAAAGAGAAUCGAAUUUGUUAUAUAUAUUUAAUUUUUUAACUUUUUUAAUGUUUGAUCUUAUGUAAUCCUCUUUAGGAUAUUUCUAUUGGUUUUUUUUUUUUAAUCUUGUACAAGAUUUUUUGACCCUCUUUUUUCUUGGUUCGAAUUUUGAAAUUUUAUUUUAAUAGAAUCAUUAAUGUUUUGAUUUUUACUAAUAUUAUUUUGAUUUUGAUUUUUACUAAUAUUUUUUUAAUUUUUAUUUUUACUAAUAUUAUUUUGAUUUUGAUUUUUACUAAUAUUAUUUUGAUUUUGAUUUUUAC